rnacentral:rRNA from 1 species
GGGGAAUAUUGCACAAUGGGCGAAAGCCUGAUGCAGCAACGCCGCGUGAGUGAUGAAGGCCUUCGGGUUGUAAAGCUCUGUCUUCUGGGACGAUAAUGACGGUACCAGAGGAGGAAGCCACGGCUAACUACGUGCCAGCAGCCGCGGUAAUACGUAGGUGGCAAGCGUUGUCCGGAUUUACUGGGCGUAAAGGGAGCGUAGGCGGAUACUUAAGUGGGAUGUGAAAUACCUGGGCUUAACUUGGGUGCUGCAUUCCAAACUGGGUGUCUAGAGUGUUGGAGAGGAAAGUGGAAUUCCUAGUGUAGCGGUGAAAUGCGUAGAGAUUAGGAAGAACACCAGUGGCGAAGGCGACUUUCUGGACAAUAACUGACGCUGAGGCUCGAAAGCGUGGGGAGCAAACA